rnacentral:rRNA from 1 species
UACGUAGGGUGCAAGCGUUGUCCGGAAUUAUUGGGCGUAAAGCGCACGUAGGCGGAUCUUUAAGUCAGAGGUGAAAUCCCAAGGCUCAACCUUGGAACUGCCUUUGAUACUGGGGAUCUUGAGUCCGGGAGAGGUGAGUGGAACUGCGAGUGUAGAGGUGAAAUUCGUAGAUAUUCGCAAGAACACCAGUGGCGAAGGCGGCUCACUGGCCCGGUACUGACGCUGAGGUGCGAAAGCGUGGGGAGCAAACAGG